rnacentral:rRNA from 1 species
UCAUUACGUGAAUACAUAGCGUAAUGAAGCGAACCGGGGGAACUGAAACAUCUAAGUACCCCGAGGAAAAGAAAUCAACCGAGAUUCCCCCAGUAGCGGCGAGCGAACGGGGAGGAGCCCAGAGCCUGAAUCAGCAUGUGUGUUAGUGGAAGCGUCUGGAAAGGCGCGCGAUACAGGGUGACAGCCCCGUACACAAAAGCGCAUGUGCUGUGAGCUCGAUGAGUAGGGCGGGACACGUGGUAUCCUGUCUGAAUAUGGGGGGACCAUCCUCCAAGGCUAAAUACUCCUGACUGACCGAUAGUGAACCAGUACCGUGAGGGAAAGGCGAAAAGAACCCCGGCGAGGGGAGUGAAAAAGAACCUGAAACCGUGU